UACGAAGGGGGCUGGCGUUGCUCGGAAUCACUGGGCGUAAAGGGUGCGUAGGCGGGUCUUUAAGUCAGGGGUGAAAUCCUGGAGCUCAACUCCAGAACUGCCUUUGAUACUGGGAAGCUCGAGUCCGGGAGAGGUGAGUGGAACUCCGAGUGUAGAGGUGAAAUUCGUAGAUAUUCGGAAGAACACCAGUGGCGAAGGCGGCUCACUGGCCCGGUACUGACGCUGAGGUGCGAAAGCGUGGGGAGCAAACAGG
rnacentral:rRNA from 1 species